rnacentral:rRNA from 1 species
GUUUAAGGAUCUAAUUUACUAUCUCGUUAGAAGGUUUAAUAUAAUGUUUCACAAUUAUAAGGUAAUAAUAAAUUAGGGGUGAAAGGCUAACCAUUUUACACGAUAUCUGGAUUAACUUUAAAUGUAUUUAGUACAGAUUAAUAAUUUUAGUAUAGUAAUGUUAAGGUUUCUAUAAAUAAGAAUUUUUUUUCUAUUAAAUUAAAAAGAUUAAUAUCUCUGAUUUUAAUUAUAUUUACUAAUAACUCAAAUUAAACCUCUUUUUAAAAAAGUUAAAUUGUAUUAAAUUUUCUUAAUUAAAUUAAUUAUGUUUAAAUAAGUAUUACUUCUUAUUCUUAUUUAAGUAACUCGGCAAAAUAUUUCCUCAACUGUUUAUCAAAAACAUAGCAUUAUGAAUAUAUAUUAUGUGCAACCUGCCCAGUGAAAAUUUUAACGGCCGCAGUAUCUUGACUGUGCUAAGGUAGCAUAAUAAAUUGGCUUUUAAUUGGAGUCUUGUAUUAAUGGAUUUAUGGGUAAAUACUGUCUCAAAUAAGAUACUUAAAAGUUACUUAAAAGGUGAAAAUUCCUUUUUAAAUUUAUUAGACGAGAAGACCCUAGGAGUUUAUUUAACUAAUAUUAGUAAUAUUUUGUUGGGGCGACAGAAUAGUAAAUUAACCUAUUUAAAGUAGGCUUUAUAAAACGAUUAUAAUAAUUAUAUUUAAAACUACCCUAGGGAUAACAGCAUAAUUUUUAUAAAGUUUGUGACCUCGAUGUUGGACUAGGAAAUUUUAAUAUUAGCAAUGUUAAAAGUAUGUUCUGUUCGAACCUUUAUUCUCCUACAUGAUCUGAGUUCAGACCGG